rnacentral:misc_RNA from 1 species
UUUCUUCUGUCAAUUCAUCUGUUCUGUCAUCAGAUUACUGGAUAAAAUGUGAAAUAAUUACAAAAAUUCUAGUAUUUGCAGACUCGUUGUUAAACCAAAAGCCACGCCCACCCCAUAUAUGCUGAUUAAUGAUGAUAAGCCGCACAGACAUUUGCUACUAUUUCGUCAUAAUUUGUCAUAAGUACGUCACUGGCUCGCCAGCUGAUUCGCUAUAAAAUUAUGAGUUUAUUCAUGCAAGGCCAGUAUAGUACGACGCCGGCGUUGCACGGUUGCUGUUACGCGUGAUUAGAAUUAAAUAUUUAUACUCUAGUAUCUGUAGAUUGGCCGGUAACCUUGGAGGCAGGUGUGGUGGUCAAUAUUUUCUUUUGUGCAGUACAUAACAGUUCCAAUUAGACAGAAUGUUGAAAACACCAUCGAAAGUGACUAUAAAUACGGGGAAUGUUUUGAACCUCAUCGAUAUUAAGAAGAAGGCUGGACAAAACGUUUCAGAGGAGCUAUCAGAGAGCAUUAAGCUGACACUGACAGAAUGGGGUUCACAAAACCCUACACCGCUACAAAACGGCUCGACCCCUGGUCAUCCACCGAGCGCCCAGAAUCCACAGACCUCCAGAACACACUCAGAUUACAUGGUAGUGUCCACGUCGACGCCCAAAGAAGCAGUGCUCAACAUCACCAGGCCGCAUGAUGACGUCAGAAACAAAAUGGCGGAGGAGGAGAGAAAAAAUUUGAAGAUUGGCGUGAAAAUUUUCAUAAAUGAAGACAGUACUGCUGCUUUGACGGAGUGCUUGGAAAAUGUGUUCACAGCCCUGCAGACGGACUACAUAGACAAUGUGAUACUGGCUUACAACCCUGAACUGUCCCACCGCGAGGAACCCGGUGACGACGCCAACAUCAACCACAGCUACGUCACCAAAGCGUCACCAAUAUCACUCGGCAGCAAUAUUGCGCGCAUGUCGAGUACGGAGGUAGACGCGGACAGCGAAGCGGACGCGCGCAAGUGUGACGCCAUCCUGCCGGGGAUCAAGGUGCUGUGGGCCGUGCUUGAAGAUUAUGUCAAACAGGGUCGCGUGCUCCAGCUGGGCGUGGCGGACGUGGGCGGCGGGUGUCUUCGCCGCCUGCACGCGUGGGCGCGUGUGCGGCCCGCCAUCGCCCAGAUCAACCUGGCCUCGUGCUGCGUCGUGCCGCCGUCCUUGCAUGCCUUCUGUCGCGCCAAUGAUGUGCAGUUGCUCACUCAUGCUGAUCCGCCAGACCUACUGUCAAUAGCGGCGGUGAAGACGUUAUCGGACGCGGGUGUCGGCUGUGGCAACCUGGAGUGGUGCGCGCGCUACCAGGUGCACAUCAAGUGUCGAGGAGUCUUGGCUUUGAAAGGCUACGUGUGUAAAGCCACCCUGGGCAACGUGGAGAAGAAACAACCGUAACACCUAUCCAGCAUAUAGAGAGAGAACAUUCGUUCAAACAAGGCACAAACAAACAGGAGGAAUUACAGGGCGGUUAAAAUGGCCACAUCGAAGCAAUUCAUCUGCGCAUAUAAAAGUAAGUGCGCAAUGCAAACAAAUGUCAAAUAGCAAUAUUGCUUUCUUAGAUGAAUUGCUUCGAUGUGGCCAUUUUAACCCCCUAGGUUAUUUGAUAGAAAUGUAAAAACAUACUUAAUUAAUACCACCGUAGGCAUAAUGGGCCAUCCACGUUUCUAAUGCGGAAAAUAGAGCCCAGUACAGUCAUGAGCAAUACCAUGUACCCACUUUAGAACCCUGUCGCACUAUCAUAUUUGAAAUUUAAUGAGACUUACGGUGUAAUUUGUCAAAAAAGUUAAUGUGACAUGGUUUCAAAGUGUAUACAUAUUAGUACUCGUGACCGUACCAUAUCCCGCAAUGUAAAGUGACCAGUGACCCUAUUUUUCAACCACUCGCCUUCAAGUCACUUUUGAAAAUACAUACCCGUUUCUCAUAGCACAUUGUAACGAAAACUUUGAGGGAUGAUUCAAACCUCUAUUCUGAAUAUUUAUCAAGUGGAAUGUUGCGUCGAAAAAGUGUUGAACUGAAAAUGAUUCAUGAAUUUUCCGACAAGAAAUUCCACUUGAUAUCAACUCAGAAUCAUGAUCUGAAUCAUCCCGUUAUUCGUUACGAUGUCACUAACACCCUGUAUAUACCUGUUUCACAUAGCUCAUCAGAAUGUGGGAUUAGCAAGAUGAGACGGGUGUAUAUUUUCGCACGUGAGUUAAAAGCGAGCGAUUCAAAAAUAACGCCCCUAACUGACGCUGCGAUGUACGGUCACGAGCAUUAAUAUGUAUACACUUUGGUACCAUGUCACAUUAACUUUUUUGACAAAUUGAACUGUAAGUCUCACUAAAUGUCAGAUUUGUUAGUGCGACAGAGUCCUUAAGUGGGUACAUUAUAUUGCUCAUGACUGUAUAUCCGUAGUAAACAUUCGCCGUCUUAUUACAAAACGAAUACUAAAUAUAAUAGCGUCGUUUCGGGCAACUACCAACUUAAUUUGACAGGACUAAAACUAGCUGCAUCUCUUUCUUACACGUAUUAGAAGAGAAGGACGGCAGUAAUUUAAGAGCUGUUGAAGAAUUGGGUUAAGUUUGGCGCCCAAACAGGCACUAAUACCAGGUUUAAAAUAGUCCCGACACCACGGCGCGGCGCGGCGCUACUGUCGCAGAUUUUGCAUAGAAAUAUGACUAGUCAAUUAGUUCCAUUAAAAUCCGAGGACUUCUUUCUUGGGGGGACUAUACUUUAGACCAGUAUGGCUAACUUACGCAACGUGAUAAAAUUUUGUCACGGACAUUUUAUCGAUACAAUAUAAUUAUGUCGUUUUGUCGAUUGGUGCUAAUAUGUGAAUCCAAAUAAGUCAUGUUCUGUCAAAAUACGAACAAAAUCACGUACGGUCACGAGCAUUAAUAUGUAUACACUUUGGUACCAUGUCACAUUAACUUUUUUGACA